GUUGUUAGGGAAGAACAAGUAUCGUUCGAAUAGGGCGGUACCUUGACGGUACCUAACCAGAAAGCCACGGCUAACUACGUGCCAGCAGCCGCGGUAAUACGUAGGUGGCAAGCGUUGUCCGGAAUUAUUGGGCGUAAAGCGCGCGCAGGCGGUCCUUUAAGUCUGAUGUGAAAGCCCACGGCUCAACCGUGGAGGGUCAUUGGAAACUGGGGGACUUGAGUGCAGAAGAGGAGAGUGGAAUUCCACGUGUAGCGGUGAAAUGCGUAGAGAUGUGGAGGAACACCAGUGGCGAAGGCGACUCUCUGGUCUGUAACUGACGCUGAGGCGCGAAAGCGUGGGGAGCGAACAGGAUUAGAUACCCUGGUAGUCCACGCCGUAAACGAUGAGUGCUAAGUGUUAGAGGGUUUCCGCCCUUUAGUGCUGCAGCAAACGCAUUAAGCACUCCGCCUGGGGAGUACGGCCGCAAGGCUGAAACUCAAAGGAAUUGACGGGGGCCCGCACAAGCGGUGGAGCAUGUGGUUUAAUUCGAAGCAACGCGAAGAACCUUACCAGGUCUUGACAUCUCCUGCCAACCCUAGAGAUAGGGCGUUCCCCUUCGGGGGACAGGAUGACAGGUGGUGCAUGGUUGUCGUCAGCUCGUGUCGUGAGAUGUCGGGUUAAGUCCCGCAACGAGCGCAACCCUU
rnacentral:rRNA from 1 species